UAAAUAGACCGGUCGGCUUUUGCUGGCCGCUGUCUUCUUAGAGGGACUAACAGCGUUUAGCUGUUGGAAGUUUGAGGCAAUAACAGGUCUGUGAUGCCCUUAGAUGUUCUGGGCCGCACGCGCGCUACACUGACUGAGCCAGCGAGUUUAUAACCUUGGCCGAAAGGUCUG
rnacentral:rRNA from 1 species